UGAACACUGCUAGAGAAGAGGAACAGUGACCUGACUGCACGAAAGACUCAAGCAGAAGCCUAAUUUGCCUCAAGAUUUGUGAUGUGAAUCAAGGUUUAAACCAGUUUCUGAUCACUUAAACUGGUUUGUGUCUAAUGUCCUUCCCUAGCCUUGAUGUCUGCACAAGCAAGUUCCUGAAGAAUCCAGUCUGACUACCAUUCUUCUAGUCAAGUGCAAACGUCUUUGAAGAUUUCAGGGUUUUCUUGUUUCAGGAGGGCUUGGUCCUUUCAGCGCUUCCAACAUCUUCUUUCGAUCUUAUGAAUGAUGCUGCAUUGAAAAGCUUAGAGUGAACCAAAAUUUUAGCAACACCAACAGAAUGAUAUUAACAACAAACAUACACGCUUCCCACUUGACAGUUUCCUAAAAGGAAAGGAGUUCGGUGCACAGGUGGUAUUCUCUUCCAUCCUACCAGUGAACGGACGCAGAAGACGGCAUGAGAACUGCAUCAGAGAGACCAACUGG